rnacentral:rRNA from 1 species
CGAACUCUGGUAUUGAUUGGUGCUUGCAUCAUGAUUUACAUUUGAGUGAGUGGCGAACUGGUGAGUAACACGUGGGAAACCUGCCCAGAAGCGGGGGAUAACACCUGGAAACAGAUGCUAAUACCGCAUAACAACUUGGACCGCAUGGUCCGAGCUUGAAAGAUGGCUUCGGCUAUCACUUUUGGAUGGUCCCGCGGCGUAUUAGCUAGAUGGUGGGGUAACGGCUCACCAUGGCAAUGAUACGUAGCCGACCUGAGAGGGUAAUCGGCCACAUUGGGACUGAGACACGGCCCAAACUCCUACGGGAGGCAGCAGUAGGGAAUCUUCCACAAUGGACGAAAGUCUGAUGGAGCAACGCCGCGUGAGUGAAGAAGGGUUUCGGCUCGUAAAACUCUGUUGUUAAAGAAGAACAUAUCUGAGAGUAACUGUUCAGGUAUUGACGGUAUUUAACCAGAAAGCCACGGCUAACUACGUGCCAGCAGCCGCGGUAAUACGUAGGUGGCAAGCGUUGUCCGGAUUUAUUGGGCGUAAAGCGAGCGCAGGCGGUUUUUUAAGUCUGAUGUGAAAGCCUUCGGCUCAACCGAAGAAGUGCAUCGGAAACUGGGAAACUUGAGUGCAGAAGAGGACAGUGGAACUCCAUGUGUAGCGGUGAAAUGCGUAGAUAUAUGGAAGAACACCAGUGGCGAAGGCGGCUGUCUGGUCUGUAACUGACGCUGAGGCUCGAAAGUAUGGGUAGCAAACAGGAUUAGAUACCCUGGUAGUCCAUACCGUAAACGAUGAAUGCUAAGUGUUGGAGGGUUUCCGCCCUUCAGUGCUGCAGCUAACGCAUUAAGCAUUCCGCCUGGGGAGUACGGCCGCAAGGCUGAAACUCAAAGGAAUUGACGGGGGCCCGCACAAGCGGUGGAGCAUGUGGUUUAAUUCGAAGCUACGCGAAGAACCUUACCAGGUCUUGACAUACUAUGCAAAUCUAAGAGAUUAGACGUUCCCUUCGGGGACAUGGAUACAGGUGGUGCAUGGUUGUCGUCAGCUCGUGUCGUGAGAUGUUGGGUUAAGUCCCGCAACGAGCGCAACCCUUAUUAUCAGUUGCCAGCAUUAAGUUGGGCACUCUGGUGAGACUGCCGGUGACAAACCGGAGGAAGGUGGGGAUGACGUCAAAUCAUCAUGCCCCUUAUGACCUGGGCUACACACGUGCUACAAUGGAUGGUACAACGAGUUGCGAACUCGCGAGAGUAAGCUAAUCUCUUAAAGCCAUUCUCAGUUCGGAUUGUAGGCUGCAACUCGCCUACAUGAAGUCGGAAUCGCUAGUAAUCGCGGAUCAGCAUGCCGCGGUGAAUACGUUCCCGGGCCUUGUACACACCGCCCGUCACACCAUGAGAGUUUGUAACACCCAAAGUCGGUGGGGUA